rnacentral:lncRNA from 1 species
AGCUAAUCUACGUAAAGUGCUUGGAAGAGGGAAAGUGGUAUAUUAUUCUGAUGAUGAGGCUUUCAAGUCAUUGAAAUCGAGCCACCCACAUGACCCUUCCCUCAAAUGGAUCAAAAAAGCAAGUUACAAAGGAGGCACCUGAGACCAGAUCUUGAGACAGACUCACACCACUCAAAUGUGUGGGCCAGCAGGGAGGGGAUAGGCCAUCAGCUGAAUAUUUAUCCCUUGGGACCAAUGUCCGUAAUAAGUGAUGUGUGCCCUGCUGUGAUCUAAUUAGGCUUAAUUGAAUUGAAGAAGAAAAAAAAAAGGAAGAGGGCAGAGAGCAGGCAACAACUGGCAUUGACUGACAAGGUACAAUUAUGGUUUUUUUUCUGUUUCAAAUGAGGGCAAAGGUUUGAAACAUAAUCGGCUGUGAGAAUUAAAUACUAAGUUGUGUUGGGUGCAUCGCUGACAACAGCCUCUCCUCCAUCCUUCAGGUACAGGGGGAAGAGAACACAAACCUCUUCUGGAACCACACCUUGAAAGCUAUCGAGUCAGGGGAGGAAUCCCUGCUUCUAAAGAAAAUGCAAGCUCCUUUCGAAUUCUUCAUUGUCACAGACACAGGAUGAGAGUGAGAGAACCACAGAUGAACUCCAUGAAAGUGUUCAGUGAGCUGGUUCAAAAGGAGAAGGACCAAGUGAUGAUUUCCCAAUGUCUCUUCCCCACUGUGACGGGUUGGAUCACAGAAACCCCCUUGGGAGCUGCCACCUGAUGUGCAAAGACUACCUCUGCUCCUGUUUUCCCUGCCAGCUCAGGACUCCAGCACCCUGUCUUGCUGAGCCAGACGCUCCCAUCUGCUCCAACACAGACCCAGGGUCUGAAUCACUUGCCCCAAAGCUGCUAGUUUACCUGAAAACAGCUCACAGAAGUUUGCUUGUCUUUAGCAUUCAGAUGCCCAACUCCCAAUGGGGUCUAAACCCAGAUAAAUCUGUUUUACCCUGUAUAAAGCUUAUGCAGGGCAAACUCAUAAAUUGUUCGCCCUCUAUAACAUUGAUAGAGAGAUAUGCACAGUUGUUUGCUCCCCCAGGUAUUAAUACAUACUCUGAGUAAAUUACUAAAUAAAAAGUGAUUUUAUUAAAUACA